AACACUUCCUUCUUCAGUUGC
rnacentral:misc_RNA from 1 species